rnacentral:rRNA from 1 species
CCUGAAACCGUGUACGUACAAGCAGUGGGAGCACGCUUAGGCGUGUGACUGCGUACCUUUUGUAUAAUGGGUCAGCGACUUAUAUUCUGUAGCAAGGUUAACCGAAUAGGGGAGCCGAAGGGAAACCGAGUCUUAACUGGGCGUUAAGUUGCAGGGUAUAGACCCGAAACCCGGUGAUCUAGCCAUGGGCAGGUUGAAGGUUGGGUAACACUAACUGGAGGACCGAACCGACUAAUGUUGAAAAAUUAGCGGAUGACUUGUGGCUGGGGGUGAAAGGCCAAUCAAACCGGGAGAUAGCUGGUUCUCCCCGAAAGCUAUUUAGGUAGCGCCUCGUGAAUUCAUCUCCGGGGGUAGAGCACUGUUUCGGCAAGGGGGUCAUCCCGACUUACCAACCCGAUGCAAACUGCGAAUACCGGAGAAUGUUAUCACGGGAGACACACGGCGGGUGCUAACGUCCGUCGUGAAGAGGGAAACAACCCAGACCGCCAGCUAAGGUCCCAAAGUCAUGGUUAAGUGGGAAACGAUGUGGGAAGGCCCAGACAGCCAGGAUGUUGGCUUAGAAGCAGCCAUCAUUUAAAGAAAGCGUAAUAGCUCACUGGUCGAGUCGGCCUGCGCGGAAGAUGUAACGGGGCUAAACCAUG